rnacentral:lncRNA from 1 species
UGCCAUGUUUAAAUAGAGAACAUGGAAUUGCGUGGGGAGAGGGUUAUCCUUUAGCCAUUAAGCCAUGCUUAUUAGGCUUGGGGUAUGUAGUUUUUCUCCCGUUGCAGCACACGAACCUUUUUCUAGUAUAACUUUAACAGCUACAAUCUUGAGAUUUUUUUCCAUUCUUUUUUGGCCCAUGCUUUCCACUCAUUUUCUGCACAACAAAGAUAGAGGCUACACACCUCCACAUGAUUUAUCUCUCUCAAAAAAUAACCUCCACAUGAUUGGCACUCCAAACUCCAAAGGAUUUCCAGCCACAACUCCCGUGUGGUCAGAAAUACAAGUCAUGUCAAGUGGAGCACUAGGUACACACUCUGCUGUGUAAACACACACACACACACAAAGAUACUUCAAUCCACUCCUUUAUUCUUGCUAGGAGUCUCGCUGCUCUGCCUCACGCGGUCACCGGAGUCUGGUCGACGGCAAGACUCUGGUAACUACGAACCCUUCCAUCUCCCCUGUCAUGCUUUCUCCAGUUGUCCAUGGAGUUGUUGCUUGCUGAAUUUAGGCUUUGUUUUUUUUCCGACGAAGGGCGCUUAAUUUAGGCUUUAGUUGGAAUAAUUCCUUGCAAUACUACUAUUUUUUUAUUAUCAGUGCCUUCGAUGAUCCAUGUUCCAUCUGCACACAUAUUUAUUAUGCGUGUUUAUAUUCUCAAAAAAGAUGGUGUGUGUUUAUCUUUUAACCGUAUCGCUUAGCUAAGAUCAUAAUAAGAUAUUUGUAGUUAUACGCUUUCUAAAAAGGAACAUAUUUUCCUCACAAAACUAAGAGACGAUCAACUUUAGGAAUUGCAACUUUAUAGACAGUACCAAUCUAGACGGGUAUCCAUGGUAACCAUGUGCAUUCCUGGACCAUUUAGUUUGAAUAGCCAGUGAGGAAUUAAGCAUAUAUUAUUGGCAUAAGAUCUUUUAAAUUGCUAGAUGAGAAGGAAUCUUAACUUAAUGGGUCUUGUGAAUUGUAAUAUACUAUUUGGUUGAAUUGAUGAUAUUUGCACUAACAAGUUUUCACUUUCCCGACGUGGACAAAGGGUUGAUCGACGCUGACUAGCGCGGCUCGGUGGGCGUUGUGCUCUUCAACCCAGUGAAGCCCGGCGGCCACGUCGCAAGAUGAUCGUCCAGGUGAUCGUGACGGCGAAGGUCACCGAGGUGGAGGACCUCGACGCCACCGUCCGAGGGUAGGGAGGAUUUGGGUCCACCGGCGUCUGAACUACGAGCCUUGGUAGAUACAUCUAGAGAAGUGCUUUGUUUAGGUUGGUGGUGAACACUAGGGAAGGUACCCACGUUUCGAUGAUGGUUGUGUGUGUCUGAUGUUAAAUGGAUUCUUGUGAUCUCUUCCAGUUGAGAUGGUUCUGUGACCUUAGUUUAUCUUGCACUGGAUGUGUCUCUGAUUUCCAUCCAUGAAUACUGCAUCUAAUUUUUAUUUUUUUAAUUCCUAAUUAGCUAGUAGUAGCGUGGGGGAAAAGGUGCAUGCUACUAGUCCUAAUUAGCUAGUAGUAGCGUGGGGGAAAAGUGCAUGCUACUAGUACUCUGGAUAGUAG